CCUGCGACGCGUGGCUGGGAAUGACGUGUGGGCCCGUUGAGACGUGUGGGGUCGCUUCUAACGGCACGGACACGUCGGGCCAAUGGGGCGGCGGCUUCGCUGGGUGUGGUUAUUUCAUAUGGACGUGCUGUAUGACAGUGGGGUCAGAAAGCAUGGGUCCACUAUGCCAGUUACCGAGGUUGGGGGUAGGCGUUGGUGUCUGGUGAUUUGGAUGCAACGGCAAUAAUUGAUGCGCACAUGGGGGGGAAAGGUAUUAUUCUGCAAUUCUGCCUGUCCCUUGAUGGAAUUUUAUCUUCUACUCCUGAAUAUAACUAGUCAUACUUCUCACAUAUAACACAGCAAGGUUCUCUUUUCAUUCCCAUUCACUUUAUUUCUUUGCUUCGAUGCAAUUAUUAUUAGGGAGCAGAAACAAUAAACAAUAAUAUGGAUGAAUAAAAAAAAGCAGAUUUGGCAGAGCAUGGAAAGAGAAUGCCAUGAACGCCAGAGUUGGCAAAACAUGAAUACAUAUUACUCAUGCAUCUGAAUCUUCUAUGCAGCAUGCGUCCCUGGUUUCGCAGCAUGUUUUUUUUUUGAACUUUAGACCCUCACAAAAAUACUGGAGCCCUGUUUUUACCAUUUAAUUUUGUGAAUGUGAGGUUUAGUUUGUAGAAGUUGAUGGCUACUUCCCUGUCGGUUAAAAACUUGUAUGAGGGGGCGAACGAACGAGAGAGGGAGUUGAAAACCUGCAUUCAACCAAUCUGGAGGGCAUACAGAAAAGCCAUCAUAAAGAAAGAAAGAAAGACACUUGUCCUGGUAAAAUGCUUUAUUGACCGUCCUGCUGUUCCUUCCUCUGCCUUUGUCUUUCUGUACAAUUUUCCUCUUCAGCUACUGUGAACUGUGAAGCAGCACAUGAUGACUAAAAAGGUUUCAGAGAACCAACCGAUCAAUGGUUGUCCUAUUAACGCUAUGUCUACUACUAUACCAGAUCUGUCGAAGUGGUUUGUCCGUAUGGAUAAUAGUCAUUACCGUCUCACGAAGAAAAGAAAAAAAUGGUUUAAAAGAUGAGAGACCAACAGUUUAGGAUUUGGCUGUGCUUAGCUUCAGCAUUGGCUUUGAAUGAAACGAGCCAUGCCGUGUAGAUGAAAAAUCUUAUCUGAGGCCUGAGAUGCAGGAAGCGGAAUGCCUGAAACACAAGAGGCACGGCAAGGGUGCUUUCUGGUCAGAGUUUGUUAGAAAGCAUAACUGGUUUUCAGAACUUUUUUUUCCUGGACAUGCACUACUCAUGACAGAGAGUAUCAAAACAGAGCAGAGUAGCACAUGAUUUUUCUGGUUGAGCUGGGUGCCUGGCUGCCUGGCUGCGUGUGUGUGUAUAAAAGGGCAGCACCAUCAAAGCUGGGAGCAUGGCAAAUUGGCAACCCAAACAUCUAUUAGCUAAGCUCUGAAGGCAAGGGUGGUAGAAAACUGAACUCUGCCCUGUUGUCUUCAGCUCCGUCUCGGUUUUCUCCAACAUCUUAUCUUCAUUGCCACUAUCGGUAGCCGCCACUGCAAAAUCAAGCGGAAUACUCCUACAUGGAUUAGAGUAAGAUGUGUAGGUGGCAGUGCAGCAAGAUGAGACCUGUCUGAAGAAUUUGGAAGCUGAAGGUGAGCGUUGGUGGAAACCAAGUCUCCAGCUGCACGCAAAGCACAAGAUUUGGUUCCCUCCAAUGUCUCAUCUUCAAAUGUCUCAAAUCAAUGCAAAUCUCGAGGCGUUAGUAGGAUCAUUAUUAUCCUCCAAAUACGGUGUUCCUAGUUAAGCAAAGUAAUGGGCUCUUUGUUUGCACCAAUUUGGCGUUUCGUGUUAGACAAUUUCAUAUCGGGUGAACAUUUCCAAAUUCACUACUGACAAUGUCAUAUAUUUGUGGUUUCAGAUUGGACUGAGGGGCCAUCAUUUGUUUUUGAUGAAGUAAUUGUGCAAUAAAUUUCUUAUAAAAAGAUAACUAUCUACAAGUGUGCUAGCAGUAGAACUAAUCAUUUAUUUGUGAUGAAGUUUAGUGUUUCUCAGGUAUGCAAUAUUUGGAUCAUUCAUAUUUAUUUCUUGUAAUGGAAUAUAAAUGUACUUGAUUGUUCCAUUAAUGAAAAUAUAUAUUUUUUC